CACGUACAUGGAUGGAAGCGUUGGGCCUAUUGCUCUCACCCGCCACAGUUUUGACAUCCAAUCCAACACCUAAUCAUAAUAUACGAUCAGUUUUAGAUAUCCAAGUUGAUUCGUAGAACAAAUUAAGCACACAAUUGUGACAACCAAGGAAAACGGUGAAGAGGACCCAGUCCGCUUUUUCAAUAUUACAGAACUGAUUCAGCACCAUGUGAACGAAACCAGGAUACGCCCCAUGAUCAUGCACGUAAGAAGGCGUCUCCCAUGGCUCCAACGGCGGCAACCCUGGAACCAGAACCGGCGAACCCGACAGCGGAACCGGAAGAAUCCCCCGCUGGACAUGGUAAUAUAUGUUGUUGACGGCGCAAGAUUGAGUGAAAAACGCAACUCCGACCAGCCCAAAUUCCUUGGCCACAUCGAGAGCCCACGGCAAGAAUCCGUCGUAGAUCACGGCAUCAACCGGCUGGCCGACGUCGACGAGCUCCUUGAUGAGAGAGGCUAGAGUUCGCGACCCAACUUCCUCGAACUUGGCGAGGUAGGUCUCAGGGCUUUCGGCCUGGGCAUGUCCACCGUCGUCGUAGCCGUCGGAGAUGGUGGCGAGGGCGAUGGAGCAGGCGGCGUCGGCACCGUGCAUAGACUUGGAGAUGUAGACGGUGUUGGCGAAGGUGGGUUUGAUGCCUUUGGAGAGUAAGCGCUUGGAGAAUUGGAGCAUUGGAUUAAUGUGGCCUUGGGCAGGGAAGGGGAUAACGAGAACGUGAGCUUUGUAGCCUCUGGUUUGCUUCUCCAUUUCCGCUUGCUUGAAGUUCAGAGGCCGGCCGGACAGCUUGCUCUGUGCGGAAGAAUUUGUUAUGAGACGGCGUUAUGCGCAGAUAUUAAAUAAAUACUAUUAGGGUGUCUUUGAUGGAAAAGUCUUGAAAGCCCAGAAAACUGGCAGGGUUAUUGAAAUGGGACCAAAAAAAAAUGAAAUUGCCCUCUCC